GUAUCAGGUUGGUGCAGAAGUGAUUGCGGCUUUUGCCAUUACUUUUAAUGGCAAAAACUGCAAUCACUUUAGCAGCAACCUAAUAAAU
ensembl:miRNA